UACGUAGGUCCCGAGCGUUGCCCGGAUUUAUUGGGCGUAAAGGGCGUGUAGCCGGGCUGACAAGUCAGAUGUGAAAUUCCGGGGCUCAACCCCGGACCUGCAUUUGAAACUGUUGGUCUUGAGUAUCGGAGAGGCAGGCGGAAUUCCUAGUGUAGCGGUGAAAUGCGUAGAUAUUAGGAGGAACACCAGUGGCGAAGGCGGCCUGCUGGACGACAACUGACGGUGAGGCGCGAAAGCGUGGGGAGCAAACAGG
rnacentral:rRNA from 1 species